UAAGUAACGGGCCCUCGCCCUUAUCUUUCUUGUUAGAUGAUAUAGUCUUCAGAGAAUUAGUGGGGGCCCAAGCUUGCGAUCCCUUACUGCCCACCGUCUCCUCGAGUUGAGUCUCCAUUUACUCGAAACCAAUGGUUGAUUCCGCAGCACGAAGGGCGCCUCGAACUGGAAGACAUACGAGCCCACUUUCGACGUCAGAUUAAUGAGAUCGAAGAGGGGAAAAGAAGGAGACUACAACUUGUCGUCUUGACAUAGAUCUUGAGGUCUGACCAAUCCCAUUAGAUUCUGAGUGUAAGGUCACAAUAGCAUUUCCCCAGGUGAGCUCUCCUUCGAAUUCAUAGAGAGUAUACCGAAUCAACCAACCAAACAACAUGCCUCCGAAGUUCCUUCUGCCCCAACCUCGGAGAGCUCUUUCUACGAGGUUGAACAUUAUCAGAGUUCCAUCACCUCCACGAGACAAAUUUCAGACAUUGUCUUGUCAUGGACUAAAGCUGCCCGACAAGUUGGUAUGUCGGCCUGCCAGCUCCAACGAAAGGAGCUGCUUUGCUCCAGAUAAAGACAACCUGGAGAAAAAAGUCAAGCUCACAGCCUGGAGUUGCGAGCAUAUGCGAGCUAGGGCACUACUGCCCUUAAAAGUGUAUUUCAGGAAGUUUACCAACUACGUUGGUAUUUCCCCCUUCCAUAUCCAGUACAACUCGUACAUGGUCUUAACGACACUGAAGUCGCUAUACCAUGAAAAAAAUGGAAUGGACCCUCGGCACAGAAGAUUCUGUAUCUCUUUUUUCUGAAAAGCAACCCUUCCUAAGCUCAUGGCGGGGAUGGCUUUUACUACUUGUCGAGCUAUCCAAAGGAGAUGAGGUUUUUUGAGGACAUAUCUAACCACCCUCCAAAUUUCAAGACUAUUUUCUUCUGGACAUACUGUCUCGAUCCAUCUAGAUUCUACUAGUUUCAACGGAUCUUUAAGUAUUCUUUCGUAGCUUUCUUCUCGAAUUCUUCAUUUCGAGCUCGAAAUGCUCAUCCAAGUUAAUUGAACAGCCAAUUACAACCGCCCACAACCCACUAAGGCCAUGAAAGACUACAUGGAAGAAAUUCUGAAAGCUUCUGUAUGGUCAGCGGUCCCUCAACUACCUCCUUCACGAGGACAAGCUCUGACAAUGCGGUCUCCUCGGCGAAGGCAAGUCUACAGAUGAUGUUGGGAUUCACAAGUACGCGAGAUGGGAAGAUGUCACUGUCCUAACUACCAAGCUUCCCUCCAAAAGGAAGUACUCAAGCUCGUGUUCUCGGGCCUCUAUCCCUCGCCUAGUUGAACCUCCAGGCUCGGGAACCAAAGCGCACGACGAGGCCUCUCAAAUCUCGUCUAACGAAGGUAAAGUUGUGUUAGACCUAUCUAUGUGGUCUCCAACUCUUCUAAAACAAGAGCCCAAUGUCGUAGUCCUUUUUAAUGAUCCCCGAAACAAUUUUAUGACUUGGUCGGGGUAGAUCUUAAGGUUCAUAGGGACAAUAGUUGGUUAGGAAAAUACCAAACCAUGUAUAGCAUAAACGAUGUAACACCUUGGAUAACCAAGACCGUUACACUGUGUCUUUAAAAUAGUGCAAGACUUGCUAAUCAAGUCGUAAUGUGAUUCUAAAAUCAACUGACAGGUUAGGGUUAAAAGAUUUUGAUCAUAAAUGGUUAAUUUUUAUUGAAAUAAAUGUUCGAUACAUGGGAUCCCAAAAAUAGUAUUUAUAUGGCGGAAAAAAACCCUAAAAAAUUGAUACAACCAAGGCCAGUCUAAUGGCAAAAUACAAUUUAGAGCUCUAAUGUAACUUCCCUCGGCCGUGGCGGUCGAGCAGCUGACGAUGUACACUCCGCCCCCAGAGCUCUCCAACUCAUGGUUAGUCCAGUAUCCCUUUGCCUUUACCUGCACCACGUAGCACCCAUGAGCCAAGGCCCAGUAAGAAAACCAUAAACAACAAACAUGAAUAGCAACAAGGGCAUGUAAUCAUCUUCAAUCCAGUCAGUUCAACUAAUCAGUAGAAUACAAAUUUAAAGCUAAACAACGAUAAACAUAUACUUUCAGCAUAUAUUUUGAUCAGUAAUACAACCAAUUAGGUGUCGGCGCCCUUAGGCCGAGCCCUCUGGUUAUAUAGCUGAUCCCGGCUCGCUUAGGCCGAGCUGCACUCAGUAUGCUUAUCAUCAGCCUCGACACCCUUAGGCCGUACUUUCUUUUUUGCAUAUAAUAGCCAUACAAUUACAUAAUACAUAAGUUCAAUUACAGGGAAUCUCAGUCCCAAACACAACCACAUGGGUGUAGUUUUCUUACCUCGAAUCCCGAGUGAUGGAUAAAGUACGGUUUCGAGCACGAUCCUCAGUCCUGACCCUUAUCCGUAAUCUUAGUCACAAGCAAUGAUAGAUAACUUAUCAAAUUCUAAUCCAAUUAAAUGUUUUGGAAACACUUACUAGUGUCUGGGACCUCGAAUUCUACCAAACCGGGUAGUAGAAUUCGUCCCAAGCGCUUAGGUUUGAAUCUCCAUGCCUCGCCGUGACUAAAAACCCUAACUUUCAUUUAUUUUCCAUUUAGGGUCGCGACUUGCCCUUUAGGUCUGUGGCCCGCCUUUUAGAUAGAGGCAAGGCCCUCCCUGUUGGAGGACACGGGCCACGACUUGUAGCCCCUGGGUCGCGGUGCGCCUAGGCAGAAUAGAGGCACCCCAGCCUCUUCGAGCACGCGGGCCGCGACGCCUAAAGAAUAGGGCCAUGGCCCCAGCCCCCAAACCCAGAAAAUCAAGCCUUUUUCCAGCCUUUUCCUAGACCCUAAACCUCAAAAUUCAACCCCAAUCAUCAUCCAAACUCAUAAAUAAGCUUAGAAAUCUUAUCCUUAUAGCCUAAACAUCAUAUCCAGUCUAUAAACAAUUCCUUAACACCCAUCAAACACCCAUAACCAAUCACAACCAAGAAAUCAUGCAAACUUUAAACUCUAACAGCAACAUAGCAGAAUUCAGUGAUUAGAACUUUGAAACCUUACCUCAGUUUGCAGUUUAGAUCCUUAGCAAACACUUUGACUAAUCCUAGCUUUAAUUCCCCUUGGUAUCCAGCCCAAAGAUCUUGAGUUUCUCCUUCAAUGUUUCAAGAUUGAGAGAGAGAGAGAGAGAGAGAGAGAGAGAGUGAACGUGGGUGAGUGAGAGGGAGAGAGUGUUUAAGUGUUCUAAGGGUAUUAUGAUUAUGUUUAGAAUUUAAUGAGUUUAUCCUCAACUCCAAAAAGACCAAAUUGCCCUUAAGUUCUCCCAGCCCCCUAAUUUCCUCUAGGGGUAGACUGGUCAUUUCUCGAUUCCUGCUAAUUCCUCAAUUAUUCCUACCAUUUGCCAAUUAAUCCGAUCAUGCCCAACUAAUUACCAAAUACUUCCUCAUUACUCGAUAAACCCCAGAAUAUUCUCUAAGUUCCCAAAAUACCCCUAAGCUCACCCCGAGCGGGUAUUAUUCCCUAUUGUGACUACUCCGCUAAUCCACUCACUAAGGUCGUCUCAAGCCAUAUACUGCAGAUAUACCCACAUAAUAAUAUGGUCUCAACCAUUUAACACAUAUAAUUAUAUUUAUGCCCUUAAAGGGCCAAAAUUAUAGAUAUGCCCUUAUAAACAAUAAAGGGCCCACAUGCAUAUCUAAUACUCAUAAACAUGCAUAUAAACAUAUUCAUAUCAUCAUAUAUAUAUAUCAUGCAUGCCAUAUAGUCACGCAUUUAAAUCGCGUAAUCUCAUACAUAUCCAAUUAUGCCCUCCCGGCACGCUAAUCAAGCACUAAACCUUAUUAGCAUUUUAGGGUCGUUACAAACGAAGUUUGGGAAGGUAUAGCCGUCCAGUACAGGACUAAUGACUAUAGGGAUUUAUCGAGGAUGUACCUUACUUAUCGAGAGGGAACCCCCUUAGAAUCAUCUGAAGAUAGAGGGAUUUCCUGGUCCCCGAGCUCAAGCCACAGGGGAUCUUCCAGAGAGAUGGAUUCAGACAUUGAUAAUAUCCUUAGCCAGCCCACCGUGUCUAAGGGGUCCAAGCGUAAUUGGGUGUACUCGAAGGGAGACUGUUUUUCCAAGGUCACCAAAACGACCGAGGCCACCCCAUCGGCCUCAAAGCAGACUGAGUCAGGCCUUGUCACUGUUCCUACGGUGCACCCAGAGGUCAUUGUUCUUCCUCCCUCGAGCCAAGCGAAGAAAACUCGUCCUUCCCACACUCCAAUCCAAGAUUGCAAACUUGAUGUCGCGACCUACAUUUCUGAGUCCGUGGUCAAUAAUGAUGCCAGUGCCCUAGGAGUUCAGCUAGGUUUAGAUGCUUUGACCUGCAUGGGCCAAUGCCUCAGCAACCUCGGGGCUCCCCAAUGAGAGUUCUUAACAGGCUGCGAGAAUGCCAACACCCUUUUAGACAAGAGCAGAGAGUUUCUUUCUUUGGCCUUCUUUUCCUUUGUCAAGCAUAAUUACAUCCUAGACCGCGAGGUCGCAAUGAGCAAGGUGCAUGCUCAAAGUGCCAAGGUAGCAUAGAUCAAGGCUAAAGACGACCUUAAGAAGGUGUAAAAGGAGCUAGAAGCAAAAGACCUGGAGCUUAAGAGGGCACAACAAGAGCUAAAUGCCAAGCUUGAGGAGGACAAGAUGACAACUUACGUGCUCAUAGAGAGCGAGAAAGCUCGUCUUCUUGAGGAAUUCAAGACCAAGAAGGAUAACGCCAUCGACAUGGCGAUGUAUCACAUCUGAGCCACAAAUCCCAACCUCGAUACCAGUUUCCUGUCUAUCAAGGAGACCGAGAAUGUCAAUAGGUGGCAGGCUCGUUUGGAAGAGGAAGAAGCCAAGAGGCUGCAAAGGCCAUGGAGCAUGCUGGAUCGGUGGAUGCCAGAGCCGCCGAUCCUUGAAGAUCAAAACAUGGUUGUGACCCAUGGUGUUUUUUUUUUUUUUGUAAUUAUAAUUUUUGUUGCCCUUGGGGCAAAGAAAAUUUAUAGCUCGAGCUUGAGCUAUUUUUAUUAUCUUGUGAAUGCUAUACUUUAAUGGUAGUUUUUAUGCUCUUAAUUUUCCAGCUUGAAAACGUUUUUGAACAUUAUCUACCUUUAGCUUUUUUCCUUAAUAUUAUACAUCACA